rnacentral:rRNA from 1 species
AUAUCAGUCAUGCAUAGCAUAUCAAUAAGCGGAGGAAAAGAAACUAACAAGGAUUCCCUUAGUAAUGGCGAGUGAAGCGGGAAGAGCUCAAAUUUGAAAUCUUCAAGGUUUUACCUUGACGAAUUGUAGUUUAAAGAAGUGUUUUCUGUUGAAGUUUUGGUAAAAGUUCUUUGGAAUAGGACAUCAUAGAGGGUGAGAAUCCCGUAUUUGACCAUUACUUUCAGCUUUGUGAUACACUUUCAAAGAGUCGGAUUGUUUGGGAAUGCAGUCCAAAAUGGGUGGUAAAUUUCAUCUAAAGCUAAAUAUUGGCGAGAGACCGAUAGCGAACAAGUACCGUGAGGGAAAGAUGAAAAGAACUUUGAAAAGAGAGUUAAACAGUACAUGAAAUUGUCAAAAGGGAAGCGUUUGACACCAGUGUUGUUUUCUCGAAAAUCAAUUAAAAAGAGUUGGAUUUUGUGUUGUAUUGACUUUAUCAGCUUUCUUCACUCUUUUCCAGCUUUUUUUAAUGCACUUUUCGUUUAACAAGUCAACAUCAGUUUCUUUUGUUGUAAAAAGGUCACUGGAAGGUGGCUUUCUCUUCGGAGAAAGUGUUUAUAGCCUUUGACUCAUGCAAUCGGAGAGACUGAGGUCUGCAGCGUAGAUCCUUCGGGGUUAGAUACAUUUGUGCUAAGUUAUAGCUUUUCAUAGACAACUUGUUGACUAUGUUUAGUCUUGUAGCUUACUCGCUUAUGCUAUUUUACCUACGCUUAGGAUGUUGAACUCUAUCACACACAG